GCGAGCUUGCCUAGAUGAUUUUAGUGCUUGCACUAAAUGAAACUAGAUACAAGCGAGCGGCGGACGGGUGAGUAACACGUGGGUAACCUGCCCAAGAGACUGGGAUAACACCUGGAAACAGAUGCUAAUACCGGAUAACAACACUAGACGCAUGUCUAGAGUUUGAAAGAUGGUUCUGCUAUCACUCUUGGAUGGACCUGCGGUGCAUUAGCUAGUUGGUAAGGUAACGGCUUACCAAGGCAAUGAUGCAUAGCCGAGUUGAGAGACUGAUCGGCCACAUUGGGACUGAGACACGGCCCAAACUCCUACGGGAGGCAGCAGUAGGGAAUCUUCCACAAUGGACGAAAGUCUGAUGGAGCAACGCCGCGUGAGUGAAGAAGGGUUUCGGCUCGUAAAGCUCUGUUGGUAGUGAAGAAAGAUAGAGGUAGUAACUGGCCUUUAUUUGACGGUAAUUACUUAGAAAGUCACGGCUAACUACGUGCCAGCAGCCGCGGUAAUACGUAGGUGGCAAGCGUUGUCCGGAUUUAUUGGGCGUAAAGCGAGUGCAGGCGGUUCAAUAAGUCUGAUGUGAAAGCCUUCGGCUCAACCGGAGAAUUGCAUCAGAAACUGUUGAACUUGAGUGCAGAAGAGGAGAGUGGAACUCCAUGUGUAGCGGUGGAAUGCGUAGAUAUAUGGAAGAACACCAGUGGCGAAGGCGGCUCUCUGGUCUGCAACUGACGCUGAGGCUCGAAAGCAUGGGUAGCGAACAGGAUUAGAUACCCUGGUAGUCCAUGCCGUAAACGAUGAGUGCUAAGUGUUGGGAGGUUUCCGCCUCUCAGUGCUGCAGCUAACG
rnacentral:rRNA from 1 species